CAGCCGCCACGGGAAUACGUAGGGUGCAAGCGUUAAUCGGAAUUACUGGGCGUAAAGCGUGCGCAGGCGGUUAUAUAAGACAGAUGUGAAAUCCCCGGGCUCAACCUGGGAACUGCAUUUGUGACUGUAUAGCUAGAGUACGGCAGAGGGGGAUGGAAUUCCGCGUGUAGCAGUGAAAUGCGUAGAUAUGCGGAGGAACACCGAUGGCGAAGGCAAUCCCCUGGGCCUGUACUGACGCUCAUGCACGAAAGCGUGGGGAGCAAACAGGAUUAGAUACCCCUGUAGUCCCUGUCUCUUAUAA
rnacentral:rRNA from 1 species